UCAUUUUCAUUGCCAGAUCUGGAAAACAAUGCCAGAGGUGGAUCCAAUCAUGCAAGUAGAUUUUCCUUCGAUCGACACAAUUAUCCGACUUUCCCAACAGUUGCUGUGAGCAAUUCUACUUCAUUCAUUCAUAGCCCUGGGAAUCAUCAAAGGCAAAGUUUACAGGAAGAAACUGAUUGCUUUGUAUCUACGGAGCUAGUAAAUGACAAAAUGCCUACCGACAAUCAAGACAAACUCUUUAAGGGGUUUUUGGAUGGGAGAUCCAUGGAGAACUUACAUGGUAUACCAGUACAGGAGAACAGGGCAAGGUAUAAUGGAACACCACUUAGAAAUGCCAUUCACAUGCCCCACUUGCAAAAAGGUUCACCCUGGACAAUUGAGUUUCUGAACAGAAUCCGGGAAAAGAGCAAGUUGUGGCGACAAUCCCUUCCAUCCAGUGCAUCUCCUUGUUAUGGCAACACACGGACCAAAUCAAAUACAACAAAGAGAAGAAGUCCAUCGAUUCUCGAAUUUUUUAAGUAUCAAGGAGGUAGCACUGUCAGAAAAACACCUGAGGAGAAGAGGCAGAAGAGAUCCACACAAUCAUUUGGUUCAUUCAAGAAUGGAAAAGUGGCAGCAUCUCUGGUCCCUUCAUGGACUCCUGUGGAUAAAAGAGCAAGACGGAAACUUUCCUUCGUGACAAAUGAUGCUGAGAGCCAGACUAAGCUGAUUUGGGGUGAUAAAGCCAGAGAAAUUCACGACCACUGAACAAUGUGCUUCUUGAGCUGAUCAAAGGAUAGAGAGUCAGGAACUGAAGAACCAAGAAAAAUUUAUGGGAUUUCCCAGGGGAUUUUUCAUCAAGAAAUUAUGCACUUAUAGGUGAGUUUCCAUUAGGAUUUAUUUCCUCUAUUAAGUCAGACUAGGCUUAUGGCCGAAAAAAUGUCAGAGUAGGCUGGCAACUUCAGCUGCACAGAUCAAACAUUAACAAAUGUUCUCUCUUAUUAGUCGAGCAAAUUCCUCUAGCAUUUUGAAUAGAACUAUCUAGAGAAAUUAAAGUCAUCACUGAUGUAUAGUUCUAGUAUUGUUAUUCAGUCUCUAAUUCUGACAGUCAAGUAGCUGCACUGUGAAUUGAAGGGCUUACUUUUGAA